AACACUAUAAACUGAGUAUACUAGAAAUAACUUGGAAUUUCAGUGACUACUUUGGAAAAUGAGCUUUCAUUGGUGUUGUGUCUUCCAUGUGGAACAGAAAUUAGCUACAUGAGGCUGAGUUUUAAGGUCCUACUUUUUAGAUACAAGAAACCAUUUUCCUUUCUCCUAAAUUGUUUAACUAAUGGGUUUAGAUAUUGUAAUUCUUGAGUUAGACCAAAGAAGGACAGCUUGGCCUUGAGAAGAAUACUUAGUAUGUUUUAAACAGAUUAACUGAAGACCCUUAAUCUUGUUAAUCAUAUAGUCUCUAAUGAAAAUCUGAUUGUCACAUGUGAAUUUUUCUAUACUUUCUGUUUCCUCUAGACAAACUUUAUGUGGAUCCAACCAUACUGAUACUAAACGAUCCCUUUCCAACUGACAGUUUACAUGGGCAAUCUCUUGUUUAGAUUCCUGGUGAAUGCAUAGGCUAUGCACUUUGAGAAUUUUAAGCUAACCUUUAGAUAUUCGUAGUGAUGAUACUAGUAAAUACUGAAAAGGUAAUACUAAACUGUUACACAUUAUAAAACAAGAGUCAAAAGGUAACCUAUUGGCUCAACACUAAGGGUAUGGUUGGUAGUUUUAAUUCCUAGUUAUGGUAUAGCUGAAUUGAAGAAAUCGUUAAGAAAUUUAUCAAUCAUUAUGGGACAGAUAACAGACAAAGUUGCUAAUGAGAUAAAGACAGAACAGUAAUCUCUGGCCUCAUUAGCUGAGGUAACAUGAGAUAACAAAAUAGUCUUAAGAUUUUUUAUUAGCCCAAGAAAGUAUAGUCUGUGCUGUAGCAAAUUCCUCUUGUUGCAUUUAAAUAAGUAACACAGAAGAAGUAGAACAGGAUAUACAUAGAAUUAGACAGCAAGCUACAUGGUUACACACUGUAACAUCCUUACAGACACCAGAUUUAUUUGGCUGGUUUCCAUCAGGAAGAAGUACAUGGGUUAGGUUUUUUUUUUUUUUUACUGUAAGGGAUAGUAAUAUUCUUAGUCUGCAUCCUGAUAGUAUCAGGCAUAAUAAAACUCAUCUUCUAUUGUCUUACCCACCUAAAAGGCAAAAGGCCUUGGUCUAAAACGUUGAUGUACCUUGAGUCUGCACACUCUGACAGUGCAACUAAAAAUAUCACUCUUACUUAAUAUUGUGGUGAAGAACCAAAUGGUAUUCAGCGGAAAACCAGCUCCGUGAAUUUAAAGAGCCUGCAAUGGCCACCAUCUAGGAACUCGAUCAAGUCCAGGUAUUGACCGUCGAUGUGUUAUUUCCAAUUUCCAAUCAACAAGAGGGAAUGAUUUAAAAAAUAAUAUUGUAAUCAUUAUUCCCUGUCCUCGAGCAUAGAGAAUGUGACCCAGCUGGAGCUGGACUCACAAAGACUCAUAAAGACACAUCAACUGGGCCCUGAGGUAUAAAGACAAUCUGAGGGAAAAAAAGAAUCUUUUAGGGAGACAUUAACAUAAAUGGGGCAUAAAAGCCACUUUUUUUCUUUUAAUAUUUAGUAAAUAGACAGUUAGAAACCAAUAAGAGGUCAGUAGCCACAAUGAAAGACCCCUCUCCAAAUAAUUCUGAGCUGGGCUGUACUUCAAAAUGGACAUUGGUCAUUCAUGAGGAGUGAAGCAGAACCCCCACAGUGCUGUGUUCUUUGAAUUGUUUCCUUUGCUGGGCUCCCCCCAUCCCCCCAGCUUUGCAUUUGAGUCCUGCUUUUGCUUGGAGGUUGUAUGUAAACCCCAUUGUGCUUGUGUAGUGUGAUUAAGACUUGCUGAUGUAACUUGUAUGAACUCUCUACUUGUAAACCCUCUUAAAAGUAACCUGCCUGCCUGCCCUAGGUGAGCAGCCUUGGCAGCAGUAAGCACCAACUGACUUCAUUUCCUUGUACAAUGAAAUAAAGAUGCCUUUCUUGUUCUCCUACUUGGCUCUCUUGUUUAUUGGCUAAUAAGAGUCUUGCCAAGUAAGAACUUGGGGCUCCCACCCGAUAACAAAAGGAGUUAGACUAGCAAUGUUUAAUGUUUAGGCAUAUAAGUCCAAAAUCCUAGGUUUUAUAAGACCUUCUCAGCUAAUAUAAAAGGAGAAGAAGAUAGAAAAAUCAGCAAGUUGUCUGCAUUUAAUCAUUGAUCAGUCUGUUAAAAAAAAAAAGUGUCGUCAGUAUUCUCUGUGUUCUUCCUGUUCAUAUGAUCUUGAAAUGUUAUGAGAAACUGAAAGAGAAAAUGAGACAUACGCUAUUAAAUACUGUGGUUAGAGUUUUGCUAUUGGGUGAAUUUAAAGCAUUACAAUGAGCCAGAAAGAAAUAGAACUAGUUCAAUGAUGUCUAUAUAAUGUUUCUUUAUAUUGAUCACGAAUUAGGUUCAGUUUGUAAUUUAUCAAGCCUUCCUUGUUGUAUAGUUUAUAGUGGAAAGAAUUGUAUUAAAUAAAACCUAAAGAGUUAACUCAACAAAGGGAGAGAAAUAUUUGAGCUUGACUCUCAGUGAAUUUAGGCCUAAACAACUUUAUCAAAAUCCUGGAUGGAGUCCAUGGGUGGCCCAUACGGUUAAGUGCUCAACUACUAACCUAAACUUUGGUGGUUCUAACCCAUCCAGAGGUGCCUUGGGAGAAAGGCCAGGUGAUCCGCUUCUGAAAGGUCAUAGCUUUGAAAACUCUAUGGAGCAGUUCUGCUCUGCACAUGUGGGGUCCUCAUGAGUAAGAACUGACUCAAUAACAGCAGAUUUGAAGCCACAUUAAAAAAAAAAAGACAAAAAGUCCUAACCAGAGAUGCCAAGAAUAGUUGCAAAAACACCAGAUUUAUAGAACACAAAAGAUUCUAUCACAAGACGCAAACAAGACAAAAUGUGAGUAUGCUGAUUUUACAAUGAUGGUGCCAUCUGGCAUUUUAUUAUCACAAUUUGAUCACUACUUACUGGAAAUAUAUUAAAGUUCAUUAUCCUUACCGCUCUUGGUUAAAUAACCAACUUUAAAAUACAUUAAUAUCAUAAAACCAGAAAAUAAGAAGAGUUUAAAUGGUAGUACCAGAAUUUGUUGGGUUAAUUUUCCCUUUUCCAAGGAAAGACAGUUUUUCUCUUCUCACACUCCUUUUUUUAAGCACUGCUGUAACUUACAAGGACAACUUUAUCUGAGAGAGAAUGACUCAUAUCUGACGUGAGCUUGUUUUCAUAGAACAUUAUAUGAGAUCAUUGAAGGGAAUGGUCUCGACAAAAUGCGCUUUAUGAAAUUGCAAAAUACAAGGAAUAUUUAUGUGCAUAACAAGGUAGAUUCUCCCAGGAGGGUUAGUUAGGCACAAAACAAAUUUAGGGUUAAAACAAAACAAAACAAAACAAAGGUUGGGUGUUGCUUUAGCCUUUUAAGGCUAAAUGAAUAUUACGUAACAAUUCAUUUAUUUAUGUGUAACGUGUCCAUAGUCAAACGUGUAUGUUACUUUCCUUGAUGUCAUUAGUCACAGGCGUGAGUAAAGUUAGGAUAAAAUAAGCCUUAUGAGGGCAGAGACAUAAUAUUCCUUUGUCCCUCCUUUUUUUUUUUUCCUCCUGUGCUGAGAUACUCUGGUGGUAUUACAUUCUGGGACUAUAAAUAUCCCAGAUAUUCCCAGCUAAUGCUUCCAGAAUGCAAGUAACUGAAAUAUGAUAAAACCAUAUUACUCACAAAGGAUUUGUUUCCUUUCUUGGAAGAAGGCUUUAAAAUAUUCUUUUCGUAACUUGCCUUUUAUUGUCACCAUUAAAAAGAAACCCAAUGUGACCCUAUAACUGCCUUGUAAUGGGCUGAAAACAGAAUGUCUGGAACUUACUCAGGAGAAGAAAAAAAAAAAAAGAGGACACAGAAAACGAUUUAGCAAAGAAGCAUCUGGCUGUUCCUGCAAAUUUAACAAAAGUCCUCAAGAAAUCAGAGGCAGCUUAGUGAAGAUGAGAAGAUUGGAAGAUUAGAAACUCUGGAGAGAAACAGACCAUCAAAUGUGUGACCACUGGCUACUUCUCUCUACUGCAGGCUUCUAGCAGACCACAGACAAUUGGAGGGAGGAGUUUAACUUUAGAUGAAGUUUGAAAUUUUAACUAUUAUACAGAGCUGCAUCUUAACAGAAGUAACUAAACCAAAUCGAACCCAUUUGUCGAGUCAAUUCCAACUCAUAGUGACCCUAUAGGACAGAGUAGGACUGCUCCCUAGGGUUUCCAAGGCUGUAAAUCUUUACGGAAGCAGACUGCCACAUCUGUCGCCCAUGGAGCAGCUGGUGGGUCAGAACCACCAACCUUUAAAGCAACCAAGUGCUUUAACCCCUACGCCACCAGGGCUCUUACAAAAGUAAUUAGACAACUUCUUUUUUUCUUUUCUUUUUACAUCUGCAAAUUUGGGGACUUCCCAAAGAUUUUACCCAAGCUGGUGAUGAAGAAGUUGACAUAGUGGAUUUGCAGGACAGUGAUGGGAAAGAAUAAAGGUACUUUAUAAAUGUGCCCAAA